rnacentral:rRNA from 1 species
UGGGGAAUAUUGCACAAUGGGCGCAAGCCUGAUGCAGCCAUGCCGCGUGUAUGAAGAAGGCCUUCGGGUUGUAAAGUACUUUCAGUCGGGAGGAAGGUGGUAAGGUUAAUAACCUUAUCAAUUGACGUUACCGACAGAAGAAGCACCGGCUAACUCCGUGCCAGCAGCCGCGGUAAUACGGAGGGUGCAAGCGUUAAUCGGAAUUACUGGGCGUAAAGCGCACGCAGGCGGUCUGUCAAGUCGGAUGUGAAAUCCCCGGGCUCAACCUGGGAAGUGCAUUCGAAACUGGCAGGCUAGAGUCUUGUAGAGGGGGGUAGAAUUCCAGGUGUAGCGGUGAAAUGCGUAGAGAUCUGGGGGAAUACCGGUGGCGAAGGCGGCCCCCUGGACAAAGACUGACGCUCAGGUGCGAAAGCGGGGGGAGCAAACAGG